rnacentral:rRNA from 1 species
AGGGUUUGAUCAUGGCUCAGGACGAACGCUGGCGGCGUGCCUAAUACAUGCAAGUCGAGCGAAUCUUUGGGAGCUUGCUCCCAAAGGUUAGCGGCGGACGGGUGAGUAACACGUGGGCAACCUGCCUAUAAGACUGGGAUAACUUCGGGAAACCGGAGCUAAUACCGGAUAAUCCCUUUCCUCUCAUGAGGAAAGGCUGAAAGAUGGUUUCGGCUAUCACUUAUAGAUGGGCCCGCGGCGCAUUAGCUAGUUGGUGAGGUAACGGCUCACCAAGGCAACGAUGCGUAGCCGACCUGAGAGGGUGAUCGGCCACACUGGGACUGAGACACGGCCCAGACUCCUACGGGAGGCAGCAGUAGGGAAUCUUCCGCAAUGGACGAAAGUCUGACGGAGCAACGCCGCGUGAGUGAUGAAGGUUUUCGGAUCGUAAAACUCUGUUGUUAGGGAAGAACAAGUACGAGAGUAACUGCUCGUACCUUGACGGUACCUAACCAGAAAGCCACGGCUAACUACGUGCCAGCAGCCGCGGUAAUACGUAGGUGGCAAGCGUUGUCCGGAAUUAUUGGGCGUAAAGCGCGCGCAGGCGGUCCUUUAAGUCUGAUGUGAAAGCCCACGGCUC